GAUGAAGAACGUAGCGAAAUGCGAUAAGGAGUGUGAAUUGCAGAAUUCAGUGAAUCAUCGAAUCUUUGAACGCACAUUGCGCCCUUUGGUAUUCCAAAGGGCAUGCCUGUUCGAGCGUCAUUUGUACCCUCAAGCUUUGCUUGGUGUUGGGCGUCUUGUCUCUAGCUUUGCUGGAGACUCGCCUUAAAGUAAUUGGCAGCCGGCCUACUGGUUUCGGAGCGCAGCACAAGUCGCACUCUCUAUCAGCAAAGGUCUAGCAUCCACUAAGCCUUUUUUUCAACUUUUGACCUCGGAUCGGGUAGGGAUACCCGCUGAACUUAAGCAUAUCAAUAAGCGGAGGA
rnacentral:misc_RNA from 1 species